rnacentral:rRNA from 1 species
AAUGCCGGAUGCUCCAGUUGAUCGCAUGGUUUUCUGGGAAAGCUUUCGCGGUAUGGGAUGGGGUCGCGUCCUAUCAGCUUGACGGCGGGGUAACGGCCCACCGUGGCUUCGACGGGUAGCCGGCCUGAGAGGGCGACCGGCCACAUUGGGACUGAGAUACGGCCCAGACUCCUACGGGAGGCAGCAGUGGGGAAUAUUGCACAAUGGGCGCAAGCCUGAUGCAGCGACGCCGCGUGAGGGAUGGAGGCCUUCGGGUUGUAAACCUCUUUUAUCGGGGAGCAAGCGAGAGUGAGUUUACCCGUUGAAUAAGCACCGGCUAACUACGUGCCAGCAGCCGCGGUAAUACGUAGGGUGCAAGCGUUAUCCGGAAUUAUUGGGCGUAAAGGGCUCGUAGGCGGUUCGUCGCGUCCGGUGUGAAAGUCCAUCGCUUAACGGUGGAUCCGCGCCGGGUACGGGCGGGCUUGAGUGCGGUAGGGGAGACUGGAAUUCCCGGUGUAACGGUGGAAUGUGUAGAUAUCGAAAAAAAAACA